CAAUAGCGUAUAUUAAAGUUGUUGCAGUUAAAAAGCUCGUAGUUGGAUUUGUGGCGUACGGUGUGUUCCGGGCACUUGUUGUCUGAGUAACCUGCUGUUGCCAUCCUUGGGUGGAGCCUGUGUGGCAUUAGGUUGUCGUGCAGGGGAUGCCCAUCAUUUACUGUGAAAAAAUUAGAGUGUUCAAAGCAGGCUUAUGCCGUUGAAUAUAUUAGCAUGGAAUAAUGAGAUAGGACUUUUUUGCUAUUUUGUUGGUUUGCGCAAGAAGGUAAUGAUUAAUAGGGACAGUUGGGGGUAUUCGUAUUCCAUUGUCAGAGGUGAAAUUCUUGGAUUUUUGGAAGACGAACUACUGCGAAAGCAUUUACCAAGGAUGUUUUCAUUAA
rnacentral:rRNA from 1 species